UGCGUAGAUAUCCGGAGGAACACCGAAGGCGAAGGCAGUGUCCUGGCUGGUACCUGACGCUGAGGGGCGAAAGCUAGGGGAGCGAACGGGAUUAGAUACCCCGGUAGUCCUAGCCGUAAACGAUGACCACUAGGUGUGCGAGGUAUCGACCCCUUGCGUGCCGUCGCCAACGCAAUAAGUGGUCCGCCUGGGGAGUACGGUCGCAAGAUUAAAACUCAAAGGAAUUGACGGGGACCCGCACAAGCAGCGGAGCGUGUGGUUUAAUUCGAUGCAACGCGAAGAACCUUACCAGGGUUUGACAUGCUUUUGCACCGCCGAGAGAUCGGCGUCCUCGCAAGAGGCGGGAGCACAGGUGCUGCAUGGCUGUCGUCAGCUCGUGCCGUGAGGUGUUGGGUUAAGUCCCGCAACGAGCGCAACCCCCAUGCUCGGUUGUAUGUUUCCGAGCAGACUGCCACGAUCAACGUGGAGGAAGGUGGGGAUGACGUCAAGUCAGCACGGCCCUUACGUCCUGGGCGACACACACGCUACAAUGGCCGAGACAACGGGACGCCAACCCGUGAGGGGGAGCCAAUCCCAGCAAACUCGGUCUCAGUUCAGAUUGCAGGCUGCAACCCGCCUGCAUGAAGAUGGAGUUGCUAGUAACCGUGGGUCAGCACACCACGGUGAAUACGUUCCCGGGUCUUGUACACACCGCCCGUCACACCACGAAAGUCGGCAACACCUGAAGCCGCUGGGCUAACCUCGCAAGAGGAGGCACGCGUCGAGGGUGGGGUCGGUGAUUGGGGUGAAGUCGUAACAAGGUACCAAUCCCGCGG
rnacentral:rRNA from 1 species